ACGAACGCUGGCGGCGUGCCUAAUACAUGCCAGUCGAACGGUUCGUUCCUCCCGAGUUCUUGCACUCAAUUGGCGAGAGGAGGGGCGGACGGGGAAGUAACACGUGGUUAACUUACCCAUCAGAGGGGGAAAACACAUGGAAACCGGUGCUAAUACCGCACAACAGGUUAUGGCGCGUGACAUUAGGGCGAUUGGCGCUUUCGGGUGGCGUUGUCGGAUGGACCCACGGGGCAUUAGCUAGUUGGGGGGGUAACGGCUCACCAAGGCCACGAUGCAUAGCCGACCUGAGAGGAUGAUCGGCCACACUGGAACUGAGACACGGCCCAGACUCCUACGGGAGGCACCAGUAGGGAAUAUUCGGCAAUGGGCGAAAGUAUGACCGAGCAACGCCGCGUGAGUGAAGAAGGUUUUCGGAUCGUAAAGCUCUGUUGUUAGGGAAGAACAGCGGCGUUAGUAACUGAACGUCCCCUGACGGUAUCUAACCAGAAAGCAACGGCUAACUACGUG
rnacentral:rRNA from 1 species